UUAACUUAUUAUAUAGUACUCAGACGACACUAAACACAGAGUUGGGGUCCUCUGGCAGGCACACCUCAGCCGGAGCCGAGAGCCCGAAGGCGGCCUGCCAAAGCAACAAUAGUAAAUAACACAGGGUGGGAGGUCUACCCGUGAGGGCAUGAUCUCUGUAAUGAUCCUUCCGCUGGUUCACCAACGGAAA
rnacentral:misc_RNA from 1 species